GGACGAUUAGCUCAGCUGGGAGAGCACCUGCCUUACAAGCAGGGGGUCACAGGUUCGAUCCCUGUAUCGUCCA
rnacentral:tRNA from 8 species